rnacentral:rRNA from 1 species
GAGUUUGAUCCUGGCUCAGGAUGAACGCUAGCUACAGGCUUAACACAUGCAAGUCGAGGGGCAGCAUGGUCUAGCAAUAGACUGAUGGCGACCGGCGCACGGGUGAGUAACACGUAUCCAACCUGCCGAUUAUUCCGGGAUAGCCUUUCGAAAGAAAGAUUAAUACUGGAUAGCAUAACGAGAAGGCAUCUUCUUGUUAUUAAAGAAUUUCGAUAAUCGAUGGGGAUGCGUUCCAUUAGUUUGUUGGCGGGGUAACGGCCCACCAAGACAUCGAUGGAUAGGGGUUCUGAGAGGAAGGUCCCCCACAUUGGAACUGAGACACGGUCCAAACUCCUACGGGAGGCAGCAGUGAGGAAUAUUGGUCAAUGGACGAGAGUCUGAACCAGCCAAGUAGCGUGAAGGAUGACUGCCCUAUGGGUUGUAAACUUCUUUUAUAUGGGAAUAAAGUGAGCCACGUGUGGCUUUUUGUAUGUACCAUACGAAUAAGGAUCGGCUAACUCCGUGCCAGCAGCCGCGGUAAUACGGAGGAUCCGAGCGUUAUCCGGAUUUAUUGGGUUUAAAGGGAGCGUAGGCGGAUUAUUAAGUCAGUUGUGAAAGUUUGCGGCUCAACCGUNAAAUUGCAGUUGAUACUGGUAGUCUUGAGUGCAGCAGAAGUAGGCGGAAUUCGUGGUGUAGCGGUGAAAUGCUUAGAUAUCACGAAGAACUCCGAUUGCGAAGGCAGCUUACUGGACUGUAACUGACGCUGAUGCUCGAAAGUGUGGGUAUCAAACAGGAUUAGAUAACCUGGUAGUCCACAC